rnacentral:rRNA from 1 species
CGGAUGCUCCAGUUGGAUGCAUGUCCUUCUGGGAAAGAUUCAUCGGUAUGGGAUGGGGUCGCGUCCUAUCAGCUUGAUGGCGGGGUAACGGCCCACCAUGGCUUCGACGGGUAGCCGGCCUGAGAGGGCGACCGGCCACAUUGGGACUGAGAUACGGCCCAGACUCCUACGGGAGGCAGCAGUGGGGAAUAUUGCACAAUGGGCGCAAGCCUGAUGCAGCGACGCCGCGUGCGGGAUGACGGCCUUCGGGUUGUAAACCGCUUUUGACUGGGAGCAAGCCCUUCGGGGUGAGUGUACCUUUCGAAUAAGCACCGGCUAACUACGUGCCAGCAGCCGCGGUAAUACGUAGGGUGCAAGCGUUAUCCGGAAUUAUUGGGCGUAAAGGGCUCGUAGGCGGUUCGUCGCGUCCGGUGUGAAAGUCCAUCGCUUAACGGUGGAUCCGCGCCGGGUACGG